UUUGCAGAUAACAAAAUGCAUCAAUCCUAAGGAGAUGUUUUUUGCUCUUCUUCUCCUUUAAUUUGCUAUGGGUCAAAUUACAAAUUCGACCUUUGUGUCUUAAUCAACAUACAAGGAAAAAAGAUCCCGAAUUCAUUUUUUGUGUCUCAAUCAAUGUUAGAAGAAAAAAAAAGAGAUAUGAGUUUGUGGACUUUCAAUUUGAGAGGUGUGUGUAUUCCAGAAGGAGAAUAAUAAUCAAAGCUUUCUGAGGCGUGCAAAUAGAGUGGUCGAUUGCUACCGCAACAUAUAAAGGCUUUUUGAGGCGUGCAAAUGGAGUGGUUGAUUGCUACCGCAACAUAUAAAGGGUAACAUUUAAGCUUGAAGUGACAGAUGCAUGUUUGGAUACAAGUUAUGCCAUCGGGAACUUUAGUAA